rnacentral:rRNA from 1 species
GAUGAACGCUGGCGGCGUGCCUAAUACAUGCAAGUCGAGCGAACAGAUGAGGAGCUUGCUCCUCUGACGUUAGCGGCGGACGGGUGAGUAACACGUGGAUAACCUACCUAUAAGACUGGGAUAACUUCGGGAAACCGGAGCUAAUACCGGAUAAUAUAUUGAACCGCAUGGUUCAAUAGUGAAAGACGGUUUUGCUGUCACUUAUGGAUGGAUCCGCGCCGCAUUAGCUAGUUGGUAAGGUAACGGCUUACCAAGGCAACGAUGCGUAGCCGACCUGAGAGGGUGAUCCACCACACUGGAACUGAGGCACUGUCCGGACUGCUACAGGAGGCAGCAGUAGGGAAUCUUCCGCAACAGGCGGCGGCCUGACGGCACAACGCCACGUGAGUGAUGUAGGUCUUCGGAUCGUAAAACUCUUUUAUUAGGGAAGAACAAAUGUGUCAGUAACUAUGCACGUCUUGACGGUACCUAAUCAGAAAGCCACGGCUAGCUACGUG